rnacentral:rRNA from 1 species
CCUACGGGGGGCAGCAGUGAGGAAUAUUGGUCAAUGGCCGGAAGGCUGAACCAGCCAUGCCGCGUGAAGGUCAGUGCCCUAUGGGCGUUAAACUUCUUUUGUGCGGGAGCAAUAAUGGUCACGUGUGGCCAGACGAGAGUACCGUACGAAUAAGCAUCGGCUAACUCCGUCUCCGCAGCCGCGGUAAUACGGGGGAGGCAAGGGGUAUCCGGAUUUAUUGGGGUUAAAGGGUGCGUAGGCUGUGAGGUAAGUCAGCGGUGAAAUGCCCCCGCUCAACGGGGUGAAGUGCAAUUGAUACUGGCUUGCUGGAAUGCGGAUGCGGUGGGAGGAAGGUGUGGUGUAGCGGGGAAAUGCAUAGAUAUCACACAGAACACCGAGUGCGAAGGCAUCUCACGAAUCCGCGAUUGACGCUGAUGCACGAAAGCGUGGGUAUCAAACAGGAUUAGAUACCCGUGUAGUC